GGUUGAUCCUGCGGGAGGUCACUGCUAUGGGGAUUCGACUAAGCCAUGCGAGUCGGGAGGGUUCGGCCCUCGCCUGACGGCCCAGUAACACGUGGAUAAUCUGCCCUAAGGUGGAGGAUAAUCUCGGGAAACUGAGAAUAAUACUCCAUAAGUCUAGGAGGCUGGAAUGCACUUAGACUAAAAACUUCGGUGCCUUAGGAUGAGUCUCCGGACUAUCAGGUUGUAGUCAGGGUAAAGACCUGACUAGCCUACGACGGAUACGGGUUGUGAGAGCAAUAACNCCGGAGAUGAUAUCUGAGACACGAUAUCAGGCCCUACGGGGCGCAGCAGGCGCGAAAACUUCGCACUGCGCGAAAGCGCGACGAGGGAAUCCCACAGUGUAUGCACCCUAGUGUAUACU
rnacentral:rRNA from 1 species